AUCAAAGAUUAGAAGAAGUCUUCAGUACGUUUCGAUCGGCGAUCGAUUUAGGAAACCGAGGCAAAUAGGGAAAAAAAAAGCAAAAACACGACGACUGCUAGUGGAUUUAGCCAUUGAGAGAGAUGGCAGCCGACCUUCGAGGACGAAGGCGUCGAGGAGAGAGCUGGUGUUUGGCGCUCGAAAGAAACGGGAGUCGGAGGAACACCCAGCCUCCAUCCUCCCAUUGCUCCACUCUCGACGGUCAACGCACUCCCAUUUCUCACUAAUCUCUUCAAAUAGUUUCUAUUAGAAGCCGUGCCGAGAGAGACAGCGAGGGAGACCUGCGGCCCUGUCACCCUUCUUCGAACCUUUACCGGAAUAUAGCUGUUUAACAUCUUCUAUCUUCAAGCUUCGGUAGGUUUUGAGAAAACCAUCCAACAUCCAGCUGAACAUUUGGUGGAAAAUGGCACCAAGGGAAUCACUAAACAUAAAGAGAUCAGGAAGUUUCAUUUCCCAAGUCGCGAUAGGUGAUCAGUAAGACAAAGAUCAAGACAAUGCUUUCUUAGAAUAAGCAUCUCUUUUAUUUUUGAACUCAUACAUCAUUGUUCCAUGAUCCAAAAAGGCCCUUCUGAGGUGAAAAGCCACUGGUGACAUUCUCAAAUGGCUCCUACUGAAUAUGUUUUUUAUCUUUGUAUUUUUUGUUUUUGUUACAUUCCUUGCUUUCCACAGAGUGUGUGUACCUCAUGAUUUUUGUAGUCCAGUAAUUGAAACAGGAAAUAGUUUUCUCUUCACAGUUGUAGAAUGAAAAGUGUUUUUUGUCACUUCAGUGAGACAGGCUUAGGAAAUAUGCUGAUCGAAUGCAUUUGAGCCACAUGGUAAUUGGAUGAUUUUGUUUUAUGGACUUUUUUAAUUCUAUGGAGUGCCAUGCAAUUUUUUGUUGCAAAAU